AUCCUUUUCUGAUUCAAAAACAUGAUGAUUGGGUCUUCACACAUUUGUGUGACAUGUGCCUCCCUUAAAUCUUGUUGCACAUUUGGCACACUGCCCAUCUGACA
ensembl:snoRNA